ensembl:snRNA U6 U6 spliceosomal RNA
AUUGUUCGUUUUGGCAGCACAUACUAAAAUUGGAACAUACAGAGAAUAUUAAUAUGGCACCUGUGCAAGGAUGACACACAACCUUGUGUGAAGCAUUCCAUACUA